CCCGUGGCCACCCUCCCUUCUCUCCGGAUUUCCUGAGCUCCUCGCUUUGAGGCUCAGCAGAGCACCCGAGACAAGACAGGGCCAAGGGAGGGCUGGGGUCUUCAAGUGUUUAUUUCAAAACGAAGCAGGACAAAAUAGCGUGGAAAAUUAAUGAGGGCUGGGGUGGAGGAGACUCUCUUCUCACUGAGUCUGGCUGAAGCCUCUGCCCGGGAAGAAUCAAGAUUCCAGGACAGACCCACCUGACUCCUGACGCUGGAACUUGACUCUGGUUCUGGAGUGGAAUUGGACUCUAGCUGGGAACUGAGGGGCAGGUAGGAUUUGAAAGGAGAGAAGGGUGUGCGGAGUGGAGGGACCUCGGGAGCAAAGGCCUGCGCUCGCAUGCGUGUGUAAAGCCCUGCAUCCUGGAUUAGGUACAACCUUGACUCUGUAUAACCUUAAUCAGAACUUGCGGUCCUGCUUCCUGGGCUCCCAUUCAUGCCUUUUAGCUUCUCAGACACUCCAACCCCCCACCCCAACCUGAGUUCCUUUGCAUUUUCUUUUGAAAAUCUACUUCCUGUUCUGUUGAGUGGCGCAUCUGAAGCCCCUCUGCCCCUCACCUGCAUAUCUGGCCAGGCAUACCUGCUGGUGGGUUCCUUCUCUGCAGCCUCAAGGUUCCUCAGGAGCUCAGUCUGUCCCAGUUAACUUUAACUGUCAACUCCAUACAGACAAAAACCACUCCCUCCCACCCCUCCAUCACCAAAGGAGUCUCAGUUGAGUAAUCUAUCAGGUUGGUCUAUGAGCAUGGCUGUGUGUGUGGGGGUGGGGGGUGGGAAUUGUCUUAAUUGAUGUAGGAGGGUCAUUAUGAUUGGCACCAUUUCCUGGGCUGGUGGUCCUGGGCUGUUUAAGGAAGCUAGCUGGGAGGAAGUUGGCGAGUCAGGGAAAGAGUCAGCAACAGAGUUCUUCCAUGGUUCCUGCCUCAACUUCCCUCAGUGAUGGAAGCGUAGACCCCACUUCCCGCAAGUUGCUUUGGUUGGAGUUCUUUAUCACAGCAGCAGGAAAGGAAAACAGACACUGUCCAUCAGGUAUCUGGAUGGCUGUGAUGGCUUCUGGCUUGCUUGUCUCUGGAUUACUGCCCACAGGUAAAGUUCCAAGUGGCCUUUGGGACCCCACCUCUAAGCCCUGGAGCUUCUUCCCUGGGUUCUUCCUGUCAGUUUGCCCAACACUUUGAGCCAUUCACCAUCCCAUUAGAGUCUCAUGUGGCCUUUCUAUAGCUCCAGGUCUUUUCUGUAUCUUCCCUCUGCCUGGAACACCUUUCCUCUAAUUUCUACAUCUACCGAGGUCUCCAAACUCAGCAUCAGCAUCAGCUCUCAUGGCUUGGUUGGAUGCUGUUCCACUGGGCUGUCAAGGUACCUGUGAAGGCAGGGAUAGACCUGUGACUCUUGCACCCUUUGGAGCCUGGCAUGGAGCAGGUGUCCACAAGAGGCUGAUGUACCAACGGCCAUCCAGUUACAGAGGUGUAGGGUCGCCUUGUUCCCUUUGCAGUAGUCAGCACCAUAUUCUCCUGUCUCCCUGGCACUCAGAUAGACAAGGAUUUUGAUGGCCACUCCGGGGCAAGCAAUGAGUGAACCGGGACUUAUUUGCCUCUAAAUGUUGUUGAGGCGAUUAUAGGAUCACAGGCUGAGAAGAUGCUCUACCAGCUGUCCCUGGGUUUCCUUGGGGAAGAAAGUAGAAUUCUAACUUUCUCUCUUUCUCAUGUCCCCUGACUGUGGUCUGCUGCCCAUAGGGGACUUAGCUCUGCAUCUUAGGACCUGGCUGCUAUUGUUUUGCUGGGGAAGGCUGUGUUGGUGGCUACUGGUGUGGAAAUCAGAGGCUGAGACACAUACUUGUUCAGAUUUGUAUCUGACUUGCAGGAAUCCUGUCCCUUAAGUGAAGGUACAUGACCCCCCAGGCCAGGCUGCAUCUGCCCAUCAUGAACUUCUUUGGAGGAAGCAUCGAGAUCCAUUUGUCCAGAGACUGCCAACUCCUCCUAACCAGGCAGCUAUCCUAGGCUCCACUGCUCUGAGCUGCUCAGACCUCCAAGUAUCUCCCAUCCCUAAGGACACUCUGCCACUGCCCUGCUACCCUCAGAAACCGUCUCCCAAGCUCAAGGUAUGACAGGAAUCAGAAAUAUGGUUGGUGUUCCUCCUGAUUCUCAGCUUCGUGGUGAGAUGAUGUGGUGUUGGGUUCUCUGGAACUGGAGUUACAGGUGAUUGUCAGCCACCUGAUGUGGGCGCUGGGAACUGAACCCAGGUUCUCUACAAGACCAUCUGAGUCAUCUCCAGCACUUACCUAUUUUUUUAUGUGGUGUGUGUGUGUGUGUAUAUAUACACAUGCAAACAUGGGUGUAUAUUUGCGCAUUUACGUACACACAUGAGGAGGCCAGACCUGGGUGCUGGGUAUCCUCCUCUGUCAUUUUCUACUGUAUUCCCUAGAGCCAGAGCCUCUCACUGAACCUGAUCUCACUGUUGGUGGAUGGAAGAAAAAACAUUAAAAAUAUACAGAAUGGAGCUAGAGAUGUAGUUUAAAUCAGUGAGUGCUUGCCCAGUGUACAAGAGGUUGGGGGGGAGAUUAAUCCUUAACAGGCACGCACACAUACAGGGGCACGAGCACACACACACACACACACACACACACACACACAAACAUACACACACACACAGACAAACACACACGAGGUGAGGGACUAGAAUAAGCAAGAAGAUAAUAGAUAAAUGAUUGGGUCUGGCUAGGGUGUAGGGACUGAGAAGAAAAUAGGAACAAUUAUCAAUGGGAUCUCUCUCUCUCUCUCUCUCUCUCUCUCUCCCUUCCCCUCCUCUCCCCUGUCCCUUCCUCUCCCCUCCU